rnacentral:rRNA from 1 species
AUGGAAGUCUUCUCGAGCAUCGGUCUUAGGGCGUUACACUUUGGGUUACCGCUUGGUCCACGAGUGCCAACGAGAAUAGAGAUUUAUCCCAUCCUUGACCAUUUUGCUGCAAGGCUAAAGCCUUGGAAGGGAAAGCUAAUGAAUAGAGUGGGAAGACUUGCAUUGGUUAACUCUGUUCUCACUGCUCUCACCACAUAUCUCUUUACGACCUUCAUACCCUCCAAAUGGCUCAUCAAGAGGAUCGAUAAAAUUAGAAGAAGCUUCAUGUGGAGUGGCGAAGACGAGGCUGCCGAAAGAAAAUGUUUGGUUAACUGGAGGAAGGUUUGCUCCCCAAAGGAUUGUGGUGGCCUGGUGUAA